rnacentral:rRNA from 1 species
AGUAACACGUGGGCAAUCUGCCCUGCACUCUGGGACAAGCCCUGGAAACGGGGUCUAAUACCGGAUACUGAUCCUCUUGGGCAUCUGUGGGGUUCGAAAGCUCCGGCGGUGCAGGAUGAGCCCGCGGCCUAUCAGCUUGUUGGUGAGGUAAUGGCUCACCAAGGCGACGACGGGUAGCCGGCCUGAGAGGGCGACCGGCCACACUGGGACUGAGACACGGCCCAGACUCCUACGGGAGGCAGCAGUGGGGAAUAUUGCACAAUGGGCGAAAGCCUGAUGCAGCGACGCCGCGUGAGGGAUGACGGCCUUCGGGUUGUAAACCUCUUUCAGCAGGGAAGAAGCGAAAGUGACGGUACCUGCAGAAGAAGCGCCGGCUAACUACGUGCCAGCAGCCGCGGUAAUACGUAGGGCGCGAGCGUUGUCCGGAAUUAUUGGGCGUAAAGAGCUCGUAGGCGGCUUGUCACGUCGGUUGUGAAAGCCCGGGGCUUAACCCCGGGUCUGCAGUCGAUACGGGCAGGCUAGAGUUCGGUAGGGGAGAUCGGAAUUCCUGGUGUAGCGGUGAAAUGCGCAGAUAUCAGGAGGAACACCGGUGGCGAAGGCGGAUCUCUGGGCCGAUACUGACGCUGAGGAGCGAAAGCGU